AUCACUAGCCUCUCUCCUCCGCAUCUUCAAUGAAAGCUUCGCCUCGUCUGGAUCACUCUCAUACUCCACCUCCGGCGCCAUCUGCUUUCCACUCAUAAAUCAAGCAAAACAAAUAAAAACAAAAAUCUUUCACAUUACUCACUCAAACAUCAAUAAAAAUUCACUUUAUAAUUUGUUCCGAAAUCGAUACAAUAACAGAUUUAGGGACUUGAUCUGAGAUUUUAACAACAGUAAGGUCUAUGAGCGGAAAUCCCUAAAUUAUUAUUAUUAUUAUUUAUUUUUCGAUACAUUUCAAUGGGGGAUUUUUUUGGGGAAAAAGAUAUAUGUACACAAUACAAUCGAAUCUUAUACAAAAUGUCGACAUGUCUUGUAGUCAAAAUACCGGCAGCCCAUUCAAUUCCAAAAUACCAUGAAAAUCUCGCCAGCUCACAAAUUAAUUGAAUAAACCCCCAAAAUUGGCCAAAAGCACUCUGUCCCAAAUCAAACCCUCCCCUUCAUCUUGUACUCCCCUCUCAAGAUCCGUACCUCCAAGGUUCAACUAGAGAAAUCUCGUCGGCACAUCUACCUCCGACUGUUGACACAUAAAAAUUCAGUCCAAAUCGAACAGCUCAAGGAGUGAAACCCAAUUGGAGGAUCCCCAAAUCAGAUAGCCCAACGAACGAAGCCCAAUCAAACAAA
rnacentral:lncRNA from 1 species